CACGUAGGGGGCGAGCGUUGUCCGGAUUUAUUGGGCGUAAAGAGCUCGUAGGCGGCUCAGUAAGUCAGGUGUGAAAACUCCAGGCUCAACCUGGAGACGCCACCUGAUACUGCUGUGACUCGAGUCCGGUAGGGGAGUGUGGAAUUCCCGGUGUAGCGGUGAAAUGCGCAGAUAUCGGGAGGAACACCAGUAGCGAAGGCGGCACUCUGGGCCGGAACUGACGCUGAGGAGCGAAAGCGUGGGGAGCGAACAGG
rnacentral:rRNA from 1 species